rnacentral:rRNA from 1 species
GGAUUAGAUACCCUGGUAGUCCACACCGUAAACGCUGUCUACUAGCUGUGUGUGAAUUAUAUUUGUGCGUAGCGAAGCAAACGCGCUAAGUAGACCGCCUGGGGAGUACGGCCGCAAGGUUAAAACUCAAAUGAAUUGACGGGGGCCCGCACAAGCGGUGGAGCAUGUGGUUUAAUUCGAUGCAACGCGAAGAACCUUACCUACACUUGACAUGCAGAGAAGAAAGCAGAGAUGCUUUUGUGCCUUCGGGAACUCUGACACAGGUGCUGCAUGGCUGUCGUCAGCUCGUGUUG